rnacentral:rRNA from 1 species
GCCACUGCUAUUGGGGUUCGGCUAAGCCAUGCGAGUGGAGGGCGUCCCGCAAGGGAUGGCCCCGCAGACGGCUCAGUAACACGUCGUCAACCCACCUUAGGGUGGGGGACAACCUCGGGAAACUGAGGAUAAUCCCCCCAUAGGCGGGGGAGGCUAGAAUGCGCCCCCGCUGAAAGCUCAGGCGCCUUAGGACGGGACGGCGGCCUAUCAGGUAGUUGGUGGUGUGACG